GUUCUUAUCCUUUUGUCCCUACUAAUGAUCAUACAUUCAUAUGUGUCUGUCUCCCACUAUCAUCACUAUACAUCCCCUUCUCAUUCCCAUGUGACCUCCACGUGAUCAUCAUCUACUUUUCCCACCUCUCCAUGCUAAUAUUGCUACCUACACCUUUUCAUUAUUUGAUAAGAUUUGGUGCUUUCCUGUCUCAAUUUCUUCUUUCUUAUAUACUUCUCAAGUUUGAACAAAUUUAUUACUCUCAUCUCUUCUUUAAUAUUCAAACAAAACGGUUUAUUUUGUUAUAUAAUAAAUAAUUUAUUUUUCUUGAUAACUUUCUUUAUUGUUUAUGAUUGUGCCUUAUUAUUAUUAUUAUUCUGUAUCUAAUUUGUGCCCUUCAAAUUGGUGAGAGUGACAUGUUGUGGGGAACCCUUCCCUUCCCUUCCAGAAAGCAAAGUGGUAUGCAAGUUGGACAUACAGAUAAGCUGUUAGGUCAAUUUUAGAAGUGAUUCAAGGUUCUUAUCCUAUGCUGCUAUAGAUAUCUUUUUCUUUUUUCACAAAAUUUCAGAUCCAAUAUCUAGGGUAUCAAUUUUCAUUUUUUAGAUAUUUUAUGUUAGAUAAGAAAAACCAUUAUGAACUCUUUGAUUUAAUGCUUUUGAGUUUAAGAAACUUUUUUGGCCAUGCAAUGAAAUUUUGAAGCAGUAUGGGAAGCAACAGAACCAUUGUUUGGUUUAGAAGGGACCUAAGAAUUGAGGACAACCCUGCACUAGCUGCAGCUGCAAGGGAUGGUUCUGUAUUCCCUGUGUAUAUAUGGUGUCCUAAAGAGGAACAACAAUUUUAUCCAGGAAGAGUUUCAAGGUGGUGGUUGAAACAGUCUCUUGUUCACUUGGAUCAGUCCUUGAAAUCUCUUGGAGCUAGACUUGUGUUCAUCAAAACUGAUAGUACUCUCAAUGCUCUUUUGGAGUGUAUAAAUGCUAUUCAAGCUACAAAAGUAGUGUUUAAUCAUCUCUAUGACCCUGUUUCGCUUGUUCGCGACCACAACAUCAAAGAAAAACUAGUGGAACUUGGCAUAUCUGUGAAAAGCUACAAUGGAGAUCUUUUGUAUGAGCCUUGGGAAGUCUACAACGACAAGAGACAUGCUUUUACAACCUUCAAUCCUUUUUGGCAGAAAUGCUUGCACAAGCAAAUGGAACCUGUUUCACUUAUCCCUCCAUGGCAAUUAAUUCCAGCUGAAGGAAAAGUUGAGAAAUGUUCAAUAGAGGAUCUAGGUCUCGAAAAUGAAUUAGAAAAACCAAGCAAUGCUUUACUAGGACGAGCGUGGUCUCCAGGUUGGAGCAAUGCUGACAAGGCUUUAACAGAAUUUAUGGACAAGCAUCUACUUCACUACUCGAUGAAUAAGCAAAAGGUUGGUGGAGACUCCACCUCACUCUUGUCCCCGUAUCUUCAUUUUGGAGAGUUGAGUGUGAGGAAAGUUUUUCAAACCGCACGUGUGAAGCAGAUAUCGUGGGCAAAUGAAGGCAACAGUGUUGGUGAAGAAAGUGUUACUCUUUUCCUCAGGGCAAUUGGACUUAGAGAGUAUUCGCGUUAUCUUUGUUUCAAUUUUCCCUUCACUCAUGAGAGAGCACUUCUUGGGCACUUGAGUUUUUUCCCUUGGAAUGCUGAUCCUGCUAACUUUAAGACUUGGAGGCAAGGUAGGACAGGAUAUCCUUUAGUUGAUGCAGGAAUGAGAGAACUUUGGGCUACAGGAUGGAUGCAUAACCGAAUAAGAAUAAUAGUUUCGAGUUUUGCUGUGAAAAUGUUGCUUCUACCUUGGAAAUGGGGAAUGAAGUAUUUCUGGGACACACUUUUGGAUGCUGACCUUGAAUGUGAUAUCCUUGGCUGGCAGUAUAUCUCAGGAGGCUUACCAGAUGGUCACGAGCUUGAGCGCUUGGAUGAUCCUGAGAUUUUAGGAGCUAAAUUUGACCCAGAAGGAGAAUAUGUAAGGCAAUGGCUACCUGAGUUAGCAAGGAUGCCAACUGAGUGGAUCCAUCAUCCUUGGAACGCACCACUUAACGUGCUUAGAGCAUCAGGAGUUGAGCUGGGUCAAAACUAUCCAAAGCCAAUAAUUGAUAUAGAUUUGGCCAGAGAAAGACUAACUCAAGCCAUAUUCAAGAUGUGGGGAGCCGAGGCAGCAGCAAAAGCUGGUAGCUCAGAUGCAAGGGAUGAUGAAGUUGUUGUUGACAACUCCCACAGUAUUGAAAAUCUAGACAUUCCAAAAGCUGUGUUUCAAGGCAAGGCUCCAUGUGCUUCUAUUUCAGCUAAUGAUCAGAAGGUGCCAGCCCUUCAGGCUGUUCAGGAUCCCAAGAAUGAGUUACCUAUUAGGAAAAGAAGAAAAUGUAUGGAAGAGAAUGGAAAGAAUCUUGAAAAUUCAGUAAAUCAUGAAAAUGAUAGUAGGGUGUCAAACGCUGACCAAGACACUUGUUCUACAGCUGACUCUUCUUCAAGUAAGAAACAGUGUUCUACAAGCACUUACUCUUUUUCUGUUCCACAACAGUGUUCCUCAUCUUCAAAUCUAAAAUGGCCAUGGCAAGAGCAGGUUGACAUGGAGCAGAGUUCAGGGAAAGAUGGCGCAACAGGAGGUUAAUGCUGUCCUUAUUUAUAAAUCUAGUAGCAGCUGCAAUGCUUCUCAGAAAAUGAAUAUCACCAAUGUUAACGACAAGAGAUCCGUACACCGGAGGAACAUCAACCCAUCGAUUCUGAUGAAGAACUUGAAGACCACCAAUCUGGUCUUGCAGAAGAAUUGUCAUGAAAUCACUAUCAGUGUGCUUGGAAGUGCCCAUAGUUAAUUCAGGUUCAGGGCAUGCAGGAUAGUAGUGACCCAGAAGAAAUUGUCCUUCUUCUGAGACUAAUUGUUUGAGGUAACAAGACUCAAGGCCUAAAGCUUCUGAGAAUAGCUCAAAGAUUGUAAAGCCUAAGGCUCUUACUUUCUUUGAAUAUUCAAUCACAAUGUCUCUGCGAAUGCAAUUAUACAAACUUGACUUGUGAGUCAAGGAAGGCCUCCUAUUUAUAAACACAUUUUCAAACUAUAUUUUAUAUGAUGUAAAACUCUCAACAAUCAUUAAUUAGUAUCAUUUUUGGUACAA